CUUUUCUUCUAUAGUAUCUUCAGUGCCUGAGAUUCUGUCUUCCAUCUUUUGUCUUCUGCUGGGGAAGUUUGCAUCUGAAGGUACCUGUUAGAUUUCCCAAAUGUUUCAUUUCCAUAAUUAUUUCAGCUUUGAUUUCUUUAUUGAUUCCAUUUCCAAUUCCAUGUCUUGAGCAGUGUUAUUCAUUUCAUUCCACUGUCUAUUUCACUUUUUCUGGAUUUCUUCAAGGGAUUUAUUGAUUUCAUCUACAAGGAGCUCUGUCAUCUUCAUAUGAGCUUCAUUAAAGUCUUUUUCUUGUGCUUCAGCUAUAUUGAAUAUUCAGGGCUAUUGCAUAAUAUGAAAGGAUAUCUGGCAUCUAGUGGGGACAUCUUGCCCUGACUGAUACUGUGUUUCUACACUGUAGGGUUUGGGACAAUUGCAAUGCUAGAUGCUAAUGUCUGAUCUUGUCUGCAUUGUGUGGGUGUUUUGUUCCUUGGUGUCUGCUUCCUAUGUAUUUUCAGAGAGUGUGGUGGCUGUGUUGCCUGAAUUCCUGGACUGGUGUGUUCACAGCAAAUGUCUGCUGCUAUUAGUGUUUGGGACCAUGGUAUGAGUUGGGGGAGGAAGGUUGGAGGAGAAUUUCUUUAUGAUCCAUGGGGAUGGGGACAGAGAGGAAAGGGAGACCACAGCAGGUUUCCUGCUCUAGAACAGGGAAUGAAACUGGUGUGACUGGGUCUCAGGAGCAGUAGGAGAGGUGUGUGUCUGCCUUUAGCGUAUUUUUGCCCUGUGAGAAGUUUCCCCUGGGUUAGCAGGAGUGACUACUGCAGUUGGGUUCUGGAUCAAAGCAACAAGGGUGGGGAGUGAGGUUAGAAAGGGAAGAUCUAGGGGAAACACAGUAGAUGGAGGCAGGGGCAGGAAAGGUAGUCAUGGCUGUUUUGCUGUAGAGCUGGGGGUGAGAGUGGGGAUUGGGUCUGAGGGAACAGAGAGGGGGGAAGGUCUGCAGGCAGCCUUCCUGCUAUCUCUAUUUCUGGCUGUCAUGGCCUUUGGUUUAACAGGGGUUGCUCCUUUACAUGGAAAAUCAGUCCUUGUAUAGGUAUUCAGAGGUCUGAAACAAAGAACAGGAAACAGACACAAGAGGAAUGCUGAGAUGCUAGUCUUCCAUCCUUUCUUGUAGUUACCUCAUGGGCCCAAGUGAGGAUUUGAUGAGUUUUUCUUUCCUUCAGAAUACAAAACAGCUCCUAAGUGCCUGUUAUACACCCAGGCCCUGGGACAGACAGAAGGCUCCAAUGCUGAGAAGGAUGCUGGCACAGGUACAGAGUUCUGGAUUACCUGUGACCAGGGAAAAGGUCAUCACUGUAAAUACUGCAUGUGUCAGUCCAUAAUAUUUUCCUAUAUUCCUGCCCACUUAUAGGCUUCGUGUGCUAAGGGGUUUGAAAAUCGUAGCGUGGCAGUGAUGCUGUCACAGACAGGCUUUUCAUGUCCAUCACUGCAUGAGUCAUUUGCUCUCUUGAGUGUGUGUUAUAAUCUGAGAACAGCAGUAUAAUGGUGGAGACAUCCUCGUGCAUCUGCAUGAUACUCUCGAGCUGUCAGGCAGAUGGUUCUCUCCUUUCCAGAAACUCAUGUUGAACAGGCACCUGAUCACUCCAGCAGAAGAGAAUUCUCAUAGGUGCAGGUUCAUUUGCCUGAAGACACCAUCUGCACUGGGGGCUGAAAAAAUAUGGUGGCCGAUGAUGAUGAUGAAGUGGUACCCAUGAACAGUGUUUCUCGGUCAUGAGAAUCUCAUCUGGUGCUGCUCUUCCCUCUUCACCCAUUCCCUUGUCACCUCGUUCAUGAAGAGUAACGGGAAGUGGAAAACGUGACGUGGCUGACUUGGAGCUGAUUCUUCACUGUGCAUUUCACACUGAGAGCAAGGGAUGCAAUCCCAGCAACCAGAGGGCUCAGCUUAUACAGAGCUGCAUCUGAGACAGAGUUCUCUCUUAAGUCCGAUGGAAGGAAGGUAGAGUGGCCCUAUCAGUCCACACUCUAAAGGUUUUACAUCCUUCCCACUCUGUCCUUCCUUCAGGUUUGACCAUCUUUAUUUAAGGUGUGAAGCUUGGUUUGUUUUCCUUUCUCCAGGAAAUGCUGCUUGCUGGGGUUUCAAGCUGCUGUGCACAUGCCAGGUAUAGAUUAUUGAAGAAAAAUACAUAUAUAUAUAUAUAUGUAUAUAUAUAUAUAUAUAUCCAUUCACACCUGCACACACACCAGAUGCUCUCAUGCUCAUCACGCAUGCUUACAGUCUGUCUACAAGUAGCAAUGGCAUGACAAUCUAUGAAGAGCUCUAUGUAUCACAGGGACCCUCUGUGUGUUGCUGCUUCACUUCCUGCAUGACUAUGAAGCAGGAGAAGAGGACUAAGAGCCAGUGAAAGCAGAAUUGCAAGGUCAUCUAGACAGUGUUGAUACCUUAGGGUCUGUGGGAGCAGUGCAGGAUUGUGAGACAUUGAGUCAGUCUGGAAGACAGUGGAGCUUUCAAAGGCUACCUAGACUAGACCAGACAUAAGAUCACAUAUGUUUGGGGAGCGUGAGUUCUAGAUGGUUCGCAGAGUGUCCAGGAUCCCUGGGACUCUUGGGUAAGAGUGUCUGGGGGAAGAUUAGAAACUAAAGACCAUCACCAACAUGGAGGUGCCGGUGUGGAGCUGAGAGUCAGCAGUAGAUGGCGACACAACACAGCACUUAAGACCCAAAUGCCUAGGUUGGUAUCGAUUUUCCAGGACCAGCUAAAUCCUUCACUGGGUAGAGCAUGUCAAAGUUCUGUGUCUCCUCCAUUUUACUAUAUCAGUAAGAGACAUGGGAACAAUAAAGAAGGUGACCGAACACCAUAAUGCCAUUUCCAUCACUUAAUAAAUAAAGGGGAUAAGCAGAAGGGGGAGAGGUAGUGUGAGUGAGAAAUAUUGAGCAGGUAUUCAUGUGUUCACUGCCCAUUGUGGACAAUAAUUGGCCAUACAGAGUGGAAGGGUCAAAGUAGAAAGGCUAGCUUGGUGUGGGGUGUGCAAGUUAGGACUAUGGAGCAGGUGAGUAUAGGCUAAUUCCAAUUGUAUUCACGUGUGCACUGCUGUGAAGAAAACCAUUAUUUGUGUUUUUACAAACACUUUUUGGGGCUUGGACUGCAUGUCAUUUUAUAGAGAUGCCUAUGAUGCAGGAAGCCUUUGAUGUGGUCCUAAGCCUCACAUAAAAAAAGGUGCACUGGCAUGAGCCUCUAAAGCUGGUAUUGGGAUGUGGAGGCUGCAGUAUCAGAAAAUUGAGAUCAUCCUGCUGAGUAAGGGAAUUUGCAGCCAGACUGAACUACAUGAGAUCACAACACUCAAGCCCUGAUAAAUACACAAACUCAACAGAUUUCAAUGAAUACAUAGUUGUUCACAUUGACACACACUCUUCUUUGAGCAGUGAGCUACUGCUUGAUCUGCUUAUUGCCUCAUGUAACACAUGCUGGGCAGUUCCAGGGUGUUCCAUUCAGAUACAGCCAUAAACAAAGAAAUGGAAAUUGGUGGUCUGGUGGAGUGUAACGGAACGGAAAUCCCAGCCUGUCACACACUUGUUCUCACUCGUUUUCAAUGCACCUAAUCAUGAACACCUCCCUCCUACACCACCAACCAUCCCUCCACUGUUCACUCUCAGUACCUGGCAAGUGGUUCUUUGCUCACAAUGAGUUCCAGAAAGACUGCAGAGCCCCUGGCAGGUCGCCCCUCCCCUCCCCGUGCUACCAUACUGUCCACUGCGGCUGGGUGUGUGGUGGUGGGCUGACAGUCUCAGGACCCUCAAUCAGAGAGUGAAACUUCAUUUCACAUGAAAAAAAUGAAAUCCAGCUGACUCCUCAAGGGUACUAUCAAAUGGCUUGAGUCAACUUUCUGUCACCUGCAAGAUAUAGGACUCUCAGUUCCAGCACCAUGUUUGGCUUCGUAUCUCCAUGCUCCCCAUCAUGAUGAUAAGGAACUUUAGGCUGAAACGGGAUGGAAGAAGAGCAUUAGCCUGAGAAUUCAAAAUCACCCCAAAAGAAAGCAAAGCUAGCUGAAAUCAAGAGAAAGAAACGUGUCAGGUUUGUGUUAUGUCACCAAAGGGACAGGAACAGAAAUCCCUCUUCUCCUGGAAAUGCAAAUCUGGAGAUGUUCAAAUGUGAAUACCACUGCUGCCAGAAAUAUGUGGGAAACACGUCUGGGAUGUCUGAGGGGACCAAGAGAGAAGCAACCUAUCAUUCACCAUCCUUAGAAAAGCUGACACUAGACCUCAAUAACUGACACUCAACUCAUAUACCACCCAGUCCCUCUUAUACAAGGAAAAACACAGAUAAUAGAAAAUGACAACAUGCAUUCGCAACAGAAAAACCAAAGAAUAUUUAAAAGGCUUCUCCAGUAAUGGACAGAAUAACUGUGGGCUUUACACCCUCCUUUGAAGAAGGUCAGAGGCUACAGGAUCCUGAAUGUCAACAUUAACCAUGUGGUGAAAUAUUUUUGGGAGCAUGAUCAGGAGGAGCAACCAUGUCCAACCUGUUGACAAUAACACCAUUACGUGUCCAGACUCAAACCUAUUCCAGAAAUGUUGCAAUCUUUUCCUUAGUAGUUUUGCAUCUUUCCUGGGACAUUCUGGAGAAAGAUGCUCCUAGGCCAGGGCAAUUAUGUAGUAAUGGUUCUAUACUCUCCAUGCUGCUGUUCCCAUGGUCAAGCUACCACUUUCCCCUCCACGAUUUUCAACUUUUCCUUCCUUCCUUUUUUUGUUGUUUUCAAAGGUGCUUUUGUUCCAUUUUAUUGACAGGAACUCAGAAGGAAAAUUAUGUCUGCUGGAAGUGUGUGUGUGUGUGUGUGUGUGUGUGUGUGUGUGUGUGUGUGUAUGUGUUGUUUGUGAUUUCUAUUUUUUUAAGUGUAUAAUCUGGUGAGAUAUCCACCAUUCAUGUUGGCAUACUAACAGAUGUUGUCAUUGUGGGUGUCUUAUUUAUGUGACCAUAGUGUUUAUAUUUUAUGGGCAUAGCUUGCCCUUCUCAUAUAGAAGACACAUUUUCAUUGCAGUUGUCCUGGUCCUCUGGAGCUUACAAUCUUUCUGCCCCAUCUUUCAAUAUAGUUCUUAAACCUUUUGUA